UCGCUGCUACCGAUUGGAUGAUCCGGUGAAAUUCUCGGACUGUCGCGUGUUGUGCCGUUCGCGGCGCUCUCGCGAUGGGAAGUUACUUGAACCUUAUUAUCUAGAGGAAGCAA
rnacentral:rRNA from 1 species